ensembl:processed_transcript
GGCUCCUCCCCACGGGCCCCGGCGGGGCGGGAGGCGGGAAACGGCCGCCUUCACCCUGGCCUUCCCGGGAUCCCACAACCCCGCCGCAGCAGUCUGCUCCCCGCUCACCUGUCAAUCCUCCUUCAGAGCUGACGGUCCGGGGUGGCCCCGAAUCCUGGCUGCGCGUCUCAGGGAGCCAGCGCGUCUCAGGGAGACUCGCUUAGCCCCGCCGCGCAGAGGGAUGUGAACCUGUUUUGUACAAAUUGGUGGCUUGUUUGGGUUCUUCAGAAUUGUGGCUUCUGAUUCACUGGAGGUGGCUGUGCCCCUACCCCGCAACCCCCUGAAGUGGCUGGCAUUGGUGCAAAUGAGGCUGUUGAACCUGAUCGUGUUCUCUCUGGCCUUGGACCUGAGUGCUGCAGAGAGAGAGAGAGAGGGAGACUCUGAUGGCUCUGAAGAUCAUGGCCCUUCCCAUAUGAGGUUCUAGGCAGUAUUCCUGAGCCGGUCUCUUGCUCACUCCCCAGCCCUUUUGAAUACCCCUUUUCGGUAUGAAUUUGAUGAUCUAAUUUGACUAUCUCUCAAAUGCUCAGGUGUGUUACAGUUUUACUCUUCACUGUAUCAGUUUGUCACACGGUUAAGAGAGCAGGAUCUACCCUUCACUCGGGGUCAUUCUCUGCAUCCUAGCUGAUGUUCAGUGAAAGCUCCAAGGGUUUGUCAAUGUGGAAACUGGUUGGCAGUCAAUCGAUGGUCUCGCAGCCACAGUUAGAGAUGAGCUGCAUCUGGGUCUGCCCAUGUGCUUUUAGAAUAGGCUGAACUUUAUAACACAUUCAAUCUUUGGAAUAAACUGCCACCGUUUUAUUGUUAGUUGAACUAUAUACAAGGUUGCUGGGGUAGGAUAUUUCAGGGGCAGAGUGCUUGCCUAGCAUGCAUGAGACUGUAGGUGGACUCCAUCCCCAGGACCAAAAUAAUAAUUUUAUUCAUAGAGGAAGAUGUUUGCCUGGGUUCAAUGCCCAACAACUCCAGCUUUGGAGGAUCCAAAUGCUUCUGUCUUCUGAGGUCACUAGCAUGGACAUAGCCCCUACCACACAUGUACACACAAUUAAAAAACAAAGCAUAGGAUUUGGAGUAAAACAGACUUUGCUUUUAAAGCCCCAUAAUAAUAUUGCAAUGCUGUAGACAUGAACACUUUCUCAACAACCCCCAUACACAUAUACUGAAAGAGAAAUUAAAAUAUAACCCUGAGUGGGCCUUACAAGGAGAAGAUGAGUUAGUGCAUGAAAAACAGCAGUGUUUAGCAUGUGCUAAAUAAAGAAAGCUGUUAUAUAUUGCCAUGUGUAAUCUAAUCCAAAACAAUCCAUACAUGUGUGUAUCUGGAUUUGCCUUUAAAAAAAAAAAUGUUCUAAUCACCACAGCG